UACGAAGGGGGCUAGCGUUGCUCGGAAUCACUGGGCGUAAAGGGUGCGUAGGUGGGCAGGUAAGUCAGUGGUGAAAUCUCCGGGCUUAACCCGGAAACUGCCGUUGAUACUAUUUGUCUUGAAUAUUGUGGAGGUAAGCGGAAUAUGUCAUGUAGCGGUGAAAUGCUUAGAUAUGACAUAGAACACCAAUUGCGAAGGCAGCUUACUACACAACGAUUGACGCUGAGGCACGAAAGCGUGGGGAUCAAACAGG
rnacentral:rRNA from 1 species